rnacentral:rRNA from 1 species
UGCCAGCAGCCGCGGUAAUACGGAGGGUGCAAGCGUUGCUCGGAAUCACUGGGCGUAAAGCGCACGCAGGCGGCUUGGUAAGUCGGAUGUGAAAGCCCAGGGCUCAACCCUGGAACUGCAUUCGAUACUGCCUCGCUUGAGUUCGAGAGGGGGUGGUGGAAUUCCUAGUGUAGAGGUGAAAUUCGUUGAUAUCAGGAGGAGCACCGGCGGCGAAGGCGGCCACCUGGCUCGAUACUGACGCUCAUGUGCGAAAGCGUGGGGAGCAAACAGGAUUAGAUA